UUCUUGAGCACGAGGUCACCUUCUCGGAACACACGAGGCUUGACCUUCUUAUCGAAUGCUUUCUUCAUUCUCUGCUGAUAUAACUGACCAUGACACAUGGCAGUCAAUCGCUUCUCUUCAAUCAAAUUCAGUUGGUCAUAACGACUCUGAAUCCAUUCAGCAUCAGUCAACUAGGGACUUGAGGGUAUACUUUUUCUUUUUUCCCUUGGAAAAAUUUUGAAAAAUUUUUCCUGGUUUUUGAUUUUU
rnacentral:lncRNA from 1 species